rnacentral:lncRNA from 1 species
GCGCCACCACGCUCAGCUAAUUUUUCUAUUUUUAGUAGAGACGGGGUUUCACCAUGUUGGCCAGGAUGGUCUCGAUCUCUUGACCUUGUGAUCCUCCCGCCUCGGCCUCCCAAAGUGCUGGGAUUACAGGCGUGAGCCACCGCUCCCGGCUCCAAUUACUUUUUAAAAGUCUUGUAUCUUUCUUUUGGCAAUGUGGGGAGGGGGUGGUUGGAAGGCAGCAUGUAAGGACCCUUCCUCUUCUCUUUUCUCAAGUUUAUCCUUUUGCUUUCAAGCAAACGAAUACUUUCCUUCAAGUGUUAUAUGCAGAGAGGCAUUAGGCAAAAUCUUCCCAGUGCAAAAUAAUCAUCAACAAAGGU